UACGUAGGGUGCGAGCGUUAAUCGGAAUUACUGGGCGUAAAGCGUGCGCAGGCGGUUUUGCAAGCCGGAUGUGAAAUCCCCGGGCUCAACCUGGGAAUGGCAUUCGGGACUGCAAGGCUGGAGUGCGGCAGAGGAGACUGGAAUUCCUGGUGUAGCAGUGAAAUGCGUAGAGAUCGGGAGGAACACCAGUGGCGAAGGCGGCUACCUGGACCAGCACUGACACUGAAGCACGAAAGCGUGGGGAGCAAACAGG
rnacentral:rRNA from 1 species